GGACUACCCGGGUAUCUAAUCCCGUUUGCUCCCCUAGCUUUCGUGUCUCAGCGUCAGCACACCCCCAGCGAGCUGUUUUCACCAUCGGCGUUCCAAAUGAUAUCUACGCAUUUCACCGCUCCACCAUUUGUUCCGCUCGCCCCUAGGUGGCUCAAGACUCCCAGUAUACCAAGCAGUUCCACGGUUGAGCCGUGGGAUUUCACAAGGCACUUAGAAGUCCGCCUACACACGCUUUAAGCCCAGUGAUUCCGCCUAACGCUCGGCACCUCUGUAUUACCGCGGCUGCUGGCAC
rnacentral:rRNA from 1 species